AACUGCAACAACUCUCAGUUCCUCCAUUUUCACACAAUCCAAAACCCAUGGAUUCUUCAAUACCCGACCCGUUUACCGAAAACCCUUCACCACCAUCACCUCCGCUUUAAUCCCCGCUUCAAACCGUCAAGCUCCACCAAAACAACAACUCUAUCAACCAUUCCGUCCACCACCAUCACCAAUCCCUCCAAAGUUCCGAUCACUCGACACCGCCGGAAAAAUCGAAGUCCUCGCUGAUCGUCUCGGUCUCUGGUUCGAAUACGCUCCACUCAUUUCCUC
rnacentral:lncRNA from 1 species